GUGAACGCUGGCGGUAGGCCUAACACAUGCACGUCGAACGGCAGCACAGUAAGAGCUUGCUCUUACGGGUGGCGAGUGGCGGACGGGUGAGGAAUACAUCGGAAUCUACUUUUUCGUGGGGGAUAACGUAGGGAAACUUACGCUAAUACCGCAUACGACCUACGGGUGAAAGCAGGGGAUCUUCGGACCUUGCACGAUUGAAUGAGCCGAUGUCGGAUUAGCUAGUUGGCGGGGUAAAGGCCCACCAAGGCGACGAUCCGUAGCUGGUCUGAGAGGAUGAUCAGCCACACUGGAACGGAGACACGGUCCAGACUCCUACGGGAGGCAGCAGUGGGGAAUAUUGGACAAUGGGCGCAAGCCUGAUCCAGCCAUACCGCGUGGGUGAAGAAGGCCUUCGGGUUGUAAAGCCCUUUUGUUGGGAAAGAAAAGCAGCAGGUUAAUACCCCGCUGUUCUGACGGUACCCAAAGAAUAAGCACCGGCUAACUUCGUG
rnacentral:rRNA from 1 species